ACAGCAGGAAGGGCUGGAGCCAGAAUGUGGUCUGAGAGGCUGGAUAUACAAAGAGACAAUGGCAUGACCAUCUGUACAAAUGGAACUAUGGCCCACAACCUGCAGCAGCCAGCCCAGGAAGCCAACCCGUCACCUGCAGCAGCCAGGAUGGAUGCUGGCCUGCCCUCAGUUGUACUCACAUCAUUGGUCUUAUGGGGAAAUUUUAAGACCUCCCACUUGUAAGGUUUUAUAGCCCUCUAUGGAAUAUUGAAGAAAGAGUAAAAUGCAUCCAAAAAAAAAAAAAAACACUAAACUGGAUAAAUUCUAAGGCCUCUUCAGGUCUUAAGAUGGCCAUUUUCUAGGUCCUCUUGCUGCAGCAGUGAAAUCCACAAACACGGACAAGUCAGUCAGUUACGUGCCUUUCAGAGAAAACUUCUGACUUAGGAAUUCCAGCUAUUUGGCCCAACCCAUAUUAGAUUGUGUUAUAAAGACAUGGUAAAUUACAUCACGAAGGGAAGAGCAGAGGAAACAUAAUAUUCCUUCAAGACCCAUCAGCUCAGAUGUUAGCAGAACACCCCUAAGGAGGAAAACAAGAAAUUUUGGGUUUGAACUUGGUACUUCCCAGCAGCCCUGGGAGUGGGGUCAGAAGCCCUGCUGGGGGCCAAAGAACUCUGAGGAUCAAAGAUGUUGAGCAUCACCUUAGAGGCCAAAGAUCAGAACAGUGGAGGUGGCCUUUGAAGCCCAACCUGUCUUUCACCAGAGAGUGAGAACGGCCUCUAUUUCCAGGAAGCUCACUGCAGCAAUAAUCAUGAUGCUCUGAGCCUGACAAGCAAAAGAAAACUUCUUUAGGAGGAUAAAAGGGAGAUGAAGAAACAGAAAACACAUCAGCUCUCCAUCCAGAUUACAGAAAGCAGAAAACAUCCUGAAGUGAAUAACAUAGGAAUCGCUCUUUUUCCCCCCUGAGAUAGCAGGUUACUUAUGAGAAACAAGCUUGAAAUCUCUGCACCUGGACCAGCUUCCAGAGGCUUUUGUCCUGACCAGCUGGCUUUGGGGAAGUAAAGGAAACCAGAGAAGAAGAGGCUGAAAGAAUUGGUUUCCACCGUGACCUUUGAACCCUCGGGCGAGUUGUCAGCCUCACUGAGGAUGAGUGUACUCCAUAUCAAGUGAGGUCACUUUACUCGCAAGCUUGUUGUGAGGACUGAAUGAAACCUUUUCUUUUUUCUUGGAGUUUCAGAGCAACGUCCCUGAGCCCAGCCCCACACUGGCUUGAGCCCUGUCGUCGGUCAAGACACGGUGCUUUCUCCCCUCCCCUCUGCACUCCAGCUUACUCUGCAGUCAGGAGGUGGCACCACGAUCCCCUUUAAGACUUUGCCACUUGGGCCAGCUGCGCCCCUGUGAAAUUCCCUGUUUCUAUUGCAGGCCACAAGGACGAGCUGAGAAAUGGCUUCCAGUCACCAUCUAGAUUAGAAAGCCUAUAUUUCAAAUAUAGAUAUAUCAAUUAUGCCUGUAAAAAGACAUUAAAUCCCACAGGGCUGUAAUUCCUAGACUCUACGAAUUUCAUCUUGCACCAAAUUUUAUUAUUUCAUUUAUAAUUCGGAUUCUUCAAAUCUAAGAGUGCCUGGCUCAAAAUUAAAAUACCUACAACUAUGCCAAAACUGGACUCUUUAAUUGCCUUACUGGAACCAGUAGCUGAUUCAAAGCAAAACGAAACAAAAUUCCUCCUUUCUCUGAUUUAGUGAAUCAAUGAUCUAACUGAACUCAUUUUUGGACUGAGUUUGCGGCACUUGCAGCCCUGAGGGACACAUUCCCCCACCACACUGAGCCUGCACUCCCAUCAAUGCAAAUGAACAUUUUGCUUAUUCAGAUUGGGGGGGUGAAGGAAGUCACAAAAGGGUUAAUACAUAUGGCAUUUCAUUGUAAUAUGUACUCACUACUAACUAAAUUAAAAGAGAUGUGAGUUAUUAAAAACUCCAUCUUAAGAAAGUAACAGAAAUCAGAGUUCAGAUUCGUUGUUACUGAGUUUCCAACCAACACCUGUGAGUUAAACCUACGGCCACCCUGAAAACGGUUCAUAUUUUCAAAAGCUUCAUCGAAGAUGAGCUGCACUAAAGAUUCAUAUUACAUAUCAUGCUGCAAUAAGAAAAUCAAAUAAGGCCUUUCCAUAUUCAAUAAUAAAGUUUAAAGAAAAGUAAUAUUUGUUUAGCCAGUUAGCCAGAAAUUAGAUGUAUCAGAAUACAUCAUUCUUUGAGCAUUUUAGAAAAAUCAGGGUAUUUCUACAUUGUGUUUUUCUUUGUAAGCCCUCAAAAAAUAUAGAGAAUAUUCUUGAAA
rnacentral:lncRNA from 1 species